UUGGGGCUGCGCCUCGGCGCUGGCGUCGCGGUGUCCCCUAGCUGCCUUCGUCUCCGUCCUCAGGCGCUGCGGCGGCAGCUGUUCCGCUGCCGCCGCCGCUCGGUGCCGGACACCGGCCGGGCUCUGCCGCCGCCGCCCCCCGCCGGGAACUGAAGCGUUUGAGCCCCCCCGGCGCGUGUGUUUUUACCCCGUCACGGGAUCGCUCGGAGCCGGGCUUCGUCCCCCCCGCGCACCGGCGGUCCGAGCCCCGCCGCGUCGAUCGCACCCACACGAGGGCGAAAUCCCCAGUGGAGCGUUUGCCUGCGCCAGCCUCUCGCUGUUUGCAGAGGAGCGCUGCGGUGGGUGGGGAGUUCAAUCCAGUCAUCUUCCACUGGAGCUUGGAUGAUGAUAUCAGCAGGUAUCGCAGGAAGAGCAAUGUCUGGGAUGAUCACAAGAUUCCCUUCAUACUUCUUAUAGAGCUGUGUUGGCUGGACUGGCUGUAGAUAGAAAGCCAUCCACAACAAGAAAAAAUAUCCAGAGUGUUGAGCUUUUUUGGUAUAAGCUUCUCAUGUGGACGGACAAAAGCUGUCUCCCAUAGGACAACUUUCCUCUGCACAAAUAUCUCACCGUAUCAGAGCCAAAAUAAACUUCAGAGACUUGCUUUUUUUUUUUCAUAUGCAGUUUAAAAGCAGAAGCAUUUAGUUUCGGGUCUCAGGGAUGAUGUUUAGGGCCUUCUGAGAAUCCAUGAUAAUUGCUAUUUUUAAGCAGUGGAGCCCCUUAAUUAUGAGAAGUCAGACUAGAUGAGUAUCUAAACUUU